GACGAACGCUGGCGGCGUGCUUAACACAUGCAAGUCGAACGGAAAGGCCCAGCUUGCUGGGUACUCGAGUGGCGAACGGGUGAGUAACACGUGGGUGAUCUGCCCUGCACUCUGGGAUAAGCCUGGGAAACUGGGUCUAAUACCGGAUAUGACCAACUGUCGCAUGGUGGUUGGUGGAAAGCUUUUGCGGUGUGGGAUGGGCCCGCGGCCUAUCAGCUUGUUGGUGGGGUAAUGGCCUACCGAGGCGACGACGGGUAGCCGACCUGAGAGGGUGAUCGGCCACACUGGGACUGAGACACGGCCCAGACUCCUACGGGAGGCAGCAGUGGGGAAUAUUGCACAAUGGGCGCAAGCCUGAUGCAGCGACGCCGCGUGAGGGAUGACGGCCUUCGGGUUGUAAACCUCUUUCACCAGGGACGAAGCGUGAGUGACGGUACCUGGAGAAGAAGCACCGGCCAACUACGUG
rnacentral:rRNA from 1 species